CGGGGGGAGCAAGCGUUGUUCGGAUUUACUGGGCGUAAAGGGCGCGUAGGCGGCCACCGCAAGUCGACUGUGAAAUCUCCGGGCUUAACCCGGAAAGGUCAGCCGAUACUGCGGGGCUAGAGUGCAGAAGGGGCAACUGGAAUUCUCGGUGUAGCGGUGAAAUGCGUAGAUAUCGAGAGGAACACCUGCGGCGAAGGCGGGUUGCUGGGCUGACACUGACGCUGAGGCGCGAAAGCUAGGGGAGCGAACGGGAUUAGGAUACCCCGGUAGUCCUAGCCUUAAACGAUGAAUGCUUGGUGUCUGGGGUUUUAUAGUCCCCGGGUGCCGUCGCUAACGCUUUAAGCAUUCCGCCUGGGGAGUACGGUCGCAAGACUG
rnacentral:rRNA from 1 species